GUGAGCGUAGCUCAGCUGGCAGAGCAUCAGGUUGUGGCCCUGAGGGUCAGGGGUUCGAAUCCCCUCGCUCACCCCA
rnacentral:tRNA from 2 species